ensembl:lncRNA
AUGGCCUCUGUCCAAUUAGCAGCAUGGGAAUUAGCAGUGCUAGAAAUUCACUGCUCCCCACUGUAUUCCCCUCUGAGAGUGCUGAACUACAGCAUUAAAUUUUCUCUUUCUUUCUCUCUCUCUUUUCAAACAGCACCAAGAAGACGGAAUGCAUAGGCAGCUAUUAGAAAAGCACUGUUAGUGCCCAAGUCAGGAAAUGCAGCUGUUAAAUCCCGAGCCAUACUGGAGCAGAGGUAUUUCAGAUGAAGCUGCCUUACAUCCCUUAACCCUUCCUCCUCUGGGAGAGAUGGAAAUUCUACUGGGAAGCCCUGGCAGGGCUUAGCACUGUCAGCACAUGAGCUCCCUGGCUGCCACCUCCUUAUUGGGCUGGAGGCACACUGAGGCUGGCAGCUGGCAAAAAAAAAAAAAAGAAGAAGAAAAAAACAAACCACAGGAAUCCCACUCCUGAGGAAUCUGGUCAUUUCAAGGUUCCCCUAUAGAUUCACAGGUUUUAAAGGCCGGGAGGGACAAUUACAUUCUGACAAGUACAUUCUGGUGCAACACAGUCCAUUGAAUUUCUCUGAGUGUUGCUGGUGCUCAGGCAGAUGAAAUGAGUUUGUACUCCUUAGUGUGCUCUCCUUAGCUCGUCUCUCAGACAUCCCCCCUUACCGCUUAUUGUCUCCUAUUCAACACAGCAUGUGUGCAUGGGUGUGUUCUCAGGUUUUCCUGAAGCAGCACCCCAACAGCAGCACACAUCUCCUGCAGCUGCCCCUGUUCCAUGCCCAGAGGUGUCUACAACUCUGAGUAUCCCAACUAUCACAGCUAUGAGGGAUGUGGUGCUCCCCAAACUGUUUUCAUUGCAGCUUGCCUUGUGUUACAGUGCAGGGAGCAGGCAGAGCGCAGGAAUCCUCCCCCAAGCCUGGAGAUGGCAGAGCAGAAACAAUGCCUAAAGGAGGGCUGACGCUUGCUGUACAACUGACCUGAAGUGCAUAACUUGUUGGAAGUCAAUAUGCAACAAGUGAGGAUCUGCACCCCUACCAAUUGGAAAGUGCCAGAGCACCUCCAGUUUUACCUGAAAUCUUCAAAUGUGUGUUGUCACCAUAUCAGAGCCUCACCUCUCAGCCAAGCAGCUGUUAUUCCUUUUUUUGGUCUGUUUAUUUACUUGCCUACUCGUUUAGAGCAAAUGUCUUCUAGCUGUUCUAGCUGGGCAGCAAAGCUUGAAGACUCAGGGAGCAAAUAAAAGGAACUCCAACUCUAUUAUUUAAAAAGAAAACAAAAUACAUCUUAUGAUCUGCUAAGCGUGUCUCCCUGUCUGCAGCAGGCCUGGCUGGUGCUUCUGGACUGAUUGGUUGGCAGUGCUGCCAUUUCUAACAGCUUUGCAGCCUUCCCACAGGAGUGGUACGGUGGUUGAUAUGUCUCAGGCUGUGUUUCAGCCUGCUGCUGCCUUUAAAAUGGUUGAAAGUCCUUAGCAUAGGGAGCAGAGGUGCCUAAAAAUACCCUCCGUGUUGUGCCCUCUUUUCCACAGCUGCAAUUCACUCCCCAUUAUAAACAAUGUGAUAACUUAAUUCUGAUGGGUCGACUACGGUGCUUUAGUGUGCUAUAAAACACAAAUUUAGGCAGCGCAUAAAAUAAGCUUUUCCUGCCAUAUGACACAAACCACAACUGUCUGGCAUGGACACACAAGCCAGAAUCUGAAAGAAAGCAAAGCACAAAGCCAGACGCGAUCUUUGAUCAUAUGUUGUUUAAAAUUAACAGCACAGAUCAUAACCACACUUAAAUAACACAUCUGUCUGGGGGGUUAGAUAGUACCGCACAAUAUGUUCUUUUAAUUCAUUAUGCAUUUGAAUCCCUCCCAAGUAACAGGUGGUUUUCUGACAACACGGUGUGCCAAAAAAUGCUGGAGAAAGGGCUGGCUGAUUGUUAUCCUUGGAGGUGAGGAAGCACAGGUUCCUGGAGAGCAGUGAGCUCUGGUUCCCUUAACUCUUUUGCUGCUGGCUCUCCAUCAACUCCUGCAGUAAUUACUGCCCUGCCUGAAUUGUAGCACCUGCCUUCACCUCUCUGGGUUUGCUCUCCAGCUCUUAGACUGUACUGUGGGGCAGAAGCUGUGUCUCAAGACAGGGCAGUAACGGGAGCGUGGCUGGAGCUGUGCUUCCGGAGAUGGGAACCUGCUGCCCAAGGGAUUCUGGAUCACGUUCCAGUGGUGGGACUGAAUGAGCAUGCUCUUCUUCAGAGCAGGUGUCUAACAACCUUAGAGACCCUUUAUGACCACCUGGAAGGAAAUGGCACCUUGAGAGGAGGAAUCCUCCCAGGCCAUAACUAUCCAUCUCAAACAUGACUUGUUUGUCCCCAUGAACUGUGAAGUGAGUGAUGAGCUCAGAUGUUCAUGUUCACACUGCAGACAGGUUUUAGAAGGGUGUGUCCCACCCAAGCUGUUCAUAUACUGCUCAGGGCUGUGUCAACAGAGUCCUGCAUUGCCCCCUGCCCAGAGCAUGAUUUAAGGGCAUGUGGACAAGAGGCUGGGUUCCCCUGCCCCUGCCCCCCACAUGGCGUUCCACUGAACAGUGACCAUCACACGUGGAGAAGAGACUGCACAGAUGAGCCAGCCAUAGCAUGAGGCAUGGACAUGAUUAAUGGCACCUCAUUACACCUGACAGCAACUGCUAAACCUUACGAAAUUAGUCACAUCUUUUAAAAAUCUAGCUGCAGUGUCUGGAGCCCUGUACUGAUGAAUUCCCAGGCUGGCUGCACACUGUGGCCUUGCUUGGGCUGCCAAGGUAGAGCCCAGCUGAAUGGAGAAGGAAGGACUUGUGAGAAGAAUCCUGUCUUCAAUCCUUGCCCAGUGAGGAGUUCCUGUGAGAAAGGACUGGGGAACACGGCCUGUGGCAAGAUCUGCAUCCCAAAUGAAGCUGCAUCUCACACCAGAUGAAAGAGAAAAAAUCACGCGUGCUAAAUGGCUCAGCCUCACAAGGACACUUCCAAAUUGCCUGCUGCUCUGCCAGAUCCAACCCCACAAGAAUGGCUGUGGUGACAAUCCCCCUCUUAUAAGGUCCUGCCCAAGAGACCAGUCCCUUGCUCUACUGCCUCACUCAAGUGGGAAGGGUUCGUUGUGCUUGCAGCUCAUGGAGCUGGAGGGAGCAGCUCCUUGUCUUCGACUUGCCCUGGAUUGGCUCAGGGGUCCCUGCUUCCACAGCCUCCUCUGUUUCCAAAGGGAAAAUGUACAAACCAGUGCCAGAGAAAUAUAUGUGGGGAUCACCUCUUUGACCAUUAGGUCUUAGAGUUAGUACUCUUCUUUCUCAUUCAAUAAAUAUAUACAUUUUUCCUGGUAAACAGGACUAGAUUGUAAAGAGAAGUGAAGGAUGAUAUUACCAACCCAUGUGCCUUACAGAGAGGGUGACCAAGAGCCUUCUGCAUGGAAUAGCAAAUCUCCUCAGGCACAAAUGGGGAGAGAGCACUUUGGGUGAGAUUCCUUAGCUGUUAUGAAAAAUGAAGGAUUUCAGAAAUGUGUCUCCUUUUUCAAGGAACAAAACUAGGACCAUGCUCAGUUCUGCCAGAAAGAAGCAUGCAAAGUGAAGAAGCUCAAUGAAAAAUAUCUAAGCUCUGGAGAGAAGUGGGAUUUUAAAUGUACCCCUAUGCUCCAUCCUCAGGGUUUUCCCAUGUGGAGGCUCCAGAUGGCCGCUUGCUCAGCACACUGGUUUUUGCAGCUCGGAGGUGUGUGUGGGUUAGGGACGAAUGCCAUGAUCUUAAAAACUGUGGGCCUAGCUGUACAUUUCCCUUGUCUGCCUGAUGAGGUGAGGGAGAGGGACACAGGAAUCAGAGCAGCCCCAAGCCCUACCCUUCACGGAUGAUCCCUGCUGGUACCAGGCCCAUGAGAAGACUGGGCUUUUGUCCCUGUGUCAGAUUUGUUGAUGUAAAGUGCCUACCCAGCUCCUGGGCAGUGAGCUUUUAUCUCCACAGGGCUCUCUGCUUCUCCAAGUAGAUGUAUCUGCUCUCCUGCCGUUAGCUCGAGGCUCUCUCAUAUGGCAAGCACCAAGGCACAUACGUGCACCCGGCACAGCUUCUUUCUUGGACCUGGUCCUUACGUUUCAGGGACAACAUGCCAUUUGCUCAUGCACCUCGAGCUCUGCAGGUGAAUCAAGAGUGUGGAGCUGGCCUCUGCUUUCGUUCAGCAUCACUGAGAGGCAGCCAUUCUCUGCAGACAUUGACGCGCUGCUGUGCUAAAUGCACCAAAAAGAAAUGGCUUGAGAGCAGAGAGGACUUAAAACUGUGCAGGUUUGGGGCUUUUUUCCCAUUUAAAAUUUUGUAAUAUUUCACUGCCAGCACUGAAUAAUUAUUUCAAAGGAGGAAUUGAAAAAUGUAUUAUUUUACAGCUUGUAAGUAAACAGAGCAAUGGCUCCAUGCUAUGUAUGGAGUGGCCUGAAGUCCUUGUUUUGUUUCUGUGGGACUUUGAGCAACUGCUGUGUUUAUUUUUUCCUGAUAAUCUCUCUAAUAACAUGGAAAAAGAAGGCACAGACUGUGCCUUUUUUCCUUUCUUUUUUGAGAAUUGAAAUAAUUUGUGUUUCUUUUCUGUGGAAUGAAUUUCCAAGCCAUAAUACCGCACGUUGAGUGUAUCUGGAAAGGAUGUUGCCUUGUUCGAUGAACUGAAUUGUGCACACAGUUGGAGGCUCUGACAGUGCCAGCAUCAGUGAAUGCAAGUUGCAUAAAAAAGAGGCAGCAUCAUUCAUGACACUAAUGAACAGUCCUUCCUCGUCUAUCAGAGAAAUCUUUCCCAGGGAUAACGAUUCUCCUAGCAUUUUCUUAGCCAUAAAAGAAGAGAUUGUGUUGGGUCUUUGGUUCUGCAUGAGACUAUCAGGAGGAUUCUUAGGCUGAGAACAGAAAUCAAUGUUUCUGUGAUACUGUAUUGGCUAAAUACUUAGACCAGAGAAAAAAGAUUUUGUUCUGACUGCACAUUGAACUUCUUGUUUUGCUUUGCUGUUACAAGAUUGUGAAAAUAGUGUGAAAUUUAAGGGUGCAUGUUUGAUUCUGAGAAAGUCUGCCAGCAAGUCUUGGUCAUUUAUUGCAACACAAUGUACCUGAUUCACCCAUAUAAUGCUACAGCUUUAAGUAACUGUAAGUUCAUUGAUUUCAGUGGAAUCUUGAGAGUAAAAGGGAAAAAGUGGUAAUUCAACUUUAAUGUAUUUCCUCAUUUUUCAUCAGGUAUUUAUUAGCCUUUAAGAUUCAUCCACUUUAAAUCUUUCUGAGUACUUGAAAAAAGUCUGCUGAGAUAUGACCAAAACCAAUAUGGAUAGCAGAAGAGGCUCUGGG